GACGAACGCUGGCGGCGUGCUUAACACAUGCGAGUCGAACGAUGAAGAAAAGAAUUGCAGCUUCGGCAGAAAUUCAUUUCGGAUUAGUGGCAGACGGGUGAGUAACGCGUGAGCAACCUACCUCUUACAAAGGGAUAGCCUCGGGAAACCGGGAUUAAUACCAUAUAACAUUGCGACGAAGCAUUUCGAUGCAAUCAAAGCUACGGCGGUAAGAGAUGGGCUCGCGUCCCAUUAACCAGAUGGUGAGGUAACGGCUCACCAUAGUAACGAUGGGUAACCGGACUGAGAGGGUGAACGGUCACACUGGAACUGAGACACGGUCCAGACUCCUACGGGAGGCAGCAGUGGGGAAUAUUGCACAAUGGAGGGAACUCUGAUGCAGCGACGCCGCGUGAGUGAUGAAGGAAUUCGUUUCGUAAAACUCUGUUCUAUGGGAAGAAAAGGACUGUACCAUAGGAGAAAGCUCCGGCUAAAUACGUG
rnacentral:rRNA from 1 species